rnacentral:rRNA from 1 species
AAAACUCCAGGCUUAACCUGGAAUCUGCAAAAGAAACUUCUUUUCUAGAGUAGGUUAGAGGUAAAGGGAAUUUCCAGUGGAGCGGUGAAAUGCGUAGAGAUUGGAAAGAACACCAAAAGCGAAACGACUUUACUGGGGCCGUACUGACACUCAGAGACGAAAGCUAGGGGAGCAAACAGGAUUAGAUACCCUGGUAGUCCUAGCUGUAAACGAUGGAUACUAGAUGUUGCUGAUUUCGAUUAGCAGUGUCGUAGCUAACCGCAUUAGUAUCCCGCCUGGGAAGUAUGCUCGCAAGGGUGAAACUCAAAGGAAUUGACGGGGGCCCGCACAAGCUGGAGUAUGUGG